AGCGAUAAACAGAAAAUAACUUCCCUCUCUCCUUUCAAGUCUCGCAGACGCGGUGCUGAAGCCAGCCCUCUUGGAAAGCACAGCAGCUCACUGGGUUGUAAAUUCACGUACGCUGGGGCUCCUCCAGAAAUCUGUGAGCAGAGAGUUAUGAGAGAUCAAAGCCUUAGCCCUUAUCGAGUACACGGAACAAGCCAAGACAUCCUGUAACUUCUGGAUCGUGUUCAGCGUGCUCCUGCACAGAUUUGCCUCCAGAUCCUGGAAAGCGUGGUGUGCCCCCGUGAGCUUCACCUCCCAGCUGCGGAGAAGGCUGGCGUGCUCCGUGGAGGAACCACCCAGGGAGUUUAAAAGAAGCUGUGUCUUUUUGUAUGGUGCUGAAAACAAUCCCUUCUGCUUGUUGUGACAAACAGCUUCAGGUAGAAAAGAGGACACAAAACAGCCAGAAGUUCCAUGGAGUUGGACUAAAAUAAAGUUUUGGG